CUCUGGGGCUUUCUGGGGCUCUAUAAGGCGGGUAUGGUGAUUUUCGCUUAAAUGGGGGAUUUGCGAAGAGAAAACGCAUGAUUUUUGGUUAAAUGGGGGAUUUGCGAGGAGAAAACACGUGAUUUUCGCUUAAAUGGAGGGUUCUCAAAGAGAAAACACGUGAUUUUUGCUUAAAUGUGGGAUUCUCAAAGAGAAAACACGUGAUUUUCGCUUAAAUGGGGGAUUCUCGAAGAGAAAACGCGUGAUUUCCGCUUAAAUGGGGGUUUCUCAACGAGAAAAUGUGUGAUUUUCGGGUUAAAUGGGGGAUUUGCGAAGAGAAAACGCGUGAUUUUCGGGUUAAAUGGGGGAUUUGCGAAGAGAAAACGCGUGAUUUUCGGUUAAAUGGGGGAUUCUCGAAGAGAAAACGCGUGAUUUUCGCUUAAAUGGGGGAUUCUUGAAGAGAAAACGCGUGAUUUUCGCUUAAAUGGGGGAUUUGCAAAGAGAAAACGCGUGAUUUUGCUUAAAUGGGGGAUUUGCGAAGAGAAAACGCGUGAUUUUCGCUUAAAUGGGGGAUUUGCGAAUAGAAUACGUGUGAUUUUCGCUUAAAUGGGGGAUUUGCGAAGAGAAAACGCGUGAUUUUUGGUUAAAUGGGGGAUUUGCGAAGAGAAAACACGUGAUUUUCGCUUAAAUGGGGGAUUUGCAAAGAGAAAAUGGGUGAUUUGCAGGUUAAAAUUGGGAUUUUCCGCAGAGAAAAUGCAAGAUUUUCAGGUUAAAUGGUGGAUUUUCAAAGUGGCAUUGCGUGAUUUUCGGGUUAAAUGGGGGAUUCUUGAAGAGAUAAUGCAUAACUUUUGCGUAAAUGGGGGAUUUUCGAAGAGAAAAUGCGUGAUUUUCCCACUAAAUGGGGGAUUCUCGAAGAGAGAGUGUGAUUUUCAGUUAAAUGGGGGAUUUUUGUAGAGAAAAUACGUGAUUUUCGGGUAAAUGGCGGAUUCUCAAAGAAAUAAUUCAUAAUUUUCGGUUAAAUAGGGUAUUUUCAAAGAGAAAAUGCCUGAUUUUAAUGUAAAAUAUGGUGGUUUUGGAAUGAAAAUGCGUGAUUUUCGACUGAAGUUUGGGGUUUUUUUUAUUUGUUUGUUUUGUUGAAAAUGCGUGACUUGCGCGCAGAAUAUCGUAUUUUUGGAGUGAAGAUCUUGUGGGUGAAAAUUUCUUUUUUUCGCGGAGCACGUUUCAUUUUCGGGAUAAAGUUGGUAUUUUGGGGGAGCAGGCUGUCCUCAAAGGCAGUUGGUGACAUUUCUAAUAGAUAGGGGAGCUCGGAAUUCUGUAGUGAUACAGCAAGAGGCUGAGAAGCUGUAUGUGGAGCAAAAGGGCUGAGAUUCCUGUUGUGAACGGAGUGAAGUGCUGUUUGCCAAACUGACAGGGUCAGCUUAUGGCUGACCGGUGAGAAUCGUGUCAUCUACUCGCUUUGCAAUCGAAGACCAUUGUGAAGAUACUGUAGGAUUUGUUGUCUUCAUUGGGUAAACCCGGCACCUCCUGUCUGGCAGCGUGUAGCCUUUUGGCUCAAACAUCGAUCCCAAACCCCAAAGAAAUAGGGAGGCUGCAGCGUGAGUCCUUCGUGCAGCCCCCGCACUCCUUAAAUCAGAGAUGACUGACGAUACUGCAGUACCCCAUUUCUGCUGCGGCACGACGUGGGAUUUCUGAAGUCACGGCAGGUUUGGAGAAACGACAAAUCAUCUCCAGAAUGCGCUCCCUGAACAACCUGCCCCACAUGCAUGGGGCACAAGCCCCAUUUUGGGGGCAAUGACCCCCACUUGUGGGGCGCUACCCCCGCCCCCACUGUCACAGCUGUGCCCCGAGGACACCAUCACCCCACUGCACAUGGCCAUCAACUUCUCCCUGGACUUCACGCACCCCACGGUGACAUUGGCGUGGAGCGAAGUGGAGCAGGGGACAUGGGGGGGCUUGAGGGGACAUGGGGACAUGAGGGGACGUGUGGGGACACAGGGACAUGGGGGGACACGGGGACGUGGGGUUGAAGUGUGGGGUCAGAACUACAGACUACAGAGACAAGGUGACAUGCGGAGGUGAUGCAGGCAGGUGGGUUCUAGGGCCUGGCGCAUGCGUAGUGGGGUCUCAAGAGCUGUAAACUUAGGUGGAGAACUGCAGCUUCCACUAAUUUUUGUGGAAACAACAUAAUGGCCCACACGAACCUCAGAACUGCAGCAUGGCACAGUGUCUGCCUGUUUAGACCUGCCAGUGCCUGCAAUGGGGCCUUGCUAGGGCCUGCAAUAGGGCCUGCAAUGGGGCCUUGCUAGGGCCUGCAAUGGGGCCGUGCUAGGGCCUGCAAUGGGGCCUGCAAUGGGGCCUUGCUAGGGCCUGCAAUGGGGCCUUGCUCGGGCCUGCAAUGGGGCCUGCAAUGGGGCCUUGCUAGGGCCUGCAAUGGGGCCUUGCUGGGGCCCACAAUGGGGCCUGCAAUGGGGCCUUGCUAGGUCCUGCAAUGGCGCCUGCAAUGGGGCUUUGCUAGGGCCUGCAAUAGGGCCUGCAAUGGGGCCUUGCUAGGGCCUGCAAUAAGGCCUGCAAUGGGGCCUUGCUAGGGCCUGCACAUGCGCCAGCUCCGAGACCCCACUUUGCGUGGGCCUGGGUAAUGGAGGGACUGGGAAGGAUUGGCUGUGACUGGGGGGCACUGGGAAAGUCUGGGAGGGGUAUUGGGGACACUGGGAGGAACUGGGGGGGACUGGGAGAGGUAACAGAGACACUGGGAGGGGUAAUGGGGGCACUGGGAUGGACUGGGAUGGCACUGGGGGGACUGGAAUGGGAUUGGGGGACGUGGGGGGGACUGGGGGGCACUGCAAAGGGACUGGGAUGGGAAUGGAAGGGGAUUGGGGGGGCACUGGGAUGGGAAUGGGGGGUGCUGGGAAGGACUGCGGGGCACUGGAAGGGAAUUGGGGGGGGGGGACUGGGAGGGAUCUGGGGAACACUGGGAGGGAAUUGGGGGGGGCUGUGGGGGCACUGGGAGAGACUGGGAAGGACUGGGAGGGUAAGUGGGUGUAGUGGGGGGCACUGGAAGGGAAUGGAGGGGGCUGGGAGAGAAAUGGGGGGCUGUGGGGACACUGGGAGGGGUUGGGGGUCACUGAGAGGAGGAAUGGAGGGCACUGGGAGGGACCUGGGAGGGAAAUGGAAGGCUGGGGGGGCACUGGGAGAGAAAUGAGGGGGGGGCUGUGGGGCACUGGAAGUGACUGGGAGGGUAAAUGGGGGCCUGGGGGACCACUGGGGGGACCCUACAGCAUUUCACUUCCCCCCACCCCCCCCCGAAAAUUCAUCCUUGCCCCCCCACACCUUGGGGGGCACACACACUCCACCCCCCCCCUCAAAAAUAUGGGGGGGGGGUGUCUUUUAAAGGGCUAUCCCCCCCUGCGAGACCACUAAAUCUGGGGGGGGCAUCUGUCUGUCCCGUUCUGCUGUGGGGGGCACCCCCAGAAUGGUGCCCCAUGCUUCCCCAAUUAACCCCCCUUCCCCCCUCCCCCCCCCACUGUACAAUAAGAGCUCUUUACUCUUCUACGGAUGUCUCCAUAUAUUUUUUGGGGGGGAGGGACCCUCAAUUUGAGGGUCCCCAAAUGGAGGGGGGAGGGGGGGGAUAUAGAGGGGGGGGUGGUCACCGGGGGGGGCGGCGCCUCCACCAGCGCUCCAAAGCUUCACGCCAACCCCCCCCUCCCACCCCUGGGACCCCCAACCCCAUCCAACGGCCUCGAGGGGUCCCCCCCACACUUGUGGGGCGUGGAAGGACCUGAGGGGGGGAAGAUAGGGGGGAGGGGGGUCACUGUGUGUCACCAGUGCGGCCCCACUGAACCCAUAAAGACCCCAGUGUGACCCCAACGCCCCAUAGAGACCCCAUUGACCCCACAGAGCCACAGAGACCCCAUAAUGCCCCAGAGACACCAUUGACCCCAUAGAGACCCCCCAAUGCCCCAUAAAGACCCCAAUGAGACCCCAGUGUGUCCCCAGUGUCCCCAUACAGACCCCAUUGUCCCCAGUGACUUCAGUGUGAUCUCAAUGUGCCCAUAGAGACCCCAUGGAGACCCCAAUGGCCCAUAAAGACCCCACUGACCCCAUAAAGACCCCAGUGUCCCACAGAGACCCCAAUGUGACCCCAGUGUCACCACUGAACCCCAUACAGACCCCAUUGUCUCCUGCGUCACCCAGUGUGACCUCACUGUCCCCAGGGAGCCCUAUAGAAACCCCAUUGUCCCCACAGACCCCAAUGUCCCCAUAGAGACCUCAGUGUGACCCCCCUGUCUCCAAUGUGACCUCCAUGUCCCCAUACAGACCCCGCUGUUUUCAGAGUGACCUCAGUUUGAUCUCAGUGUCCCCAUAGAGACCCCACUGACACCCACAGAGACCCCAGCGUGACCUCAAUUUCCCCAUAGAGACCCGCUCUGCCCCCCACCCCAUAGCCCCCCCCAUACCAACAGCUGGAACUCAUCACUCAUCCUUCGCAGCUCCCGGCCAUAUUUCCGUGCUGCCCAUAGGACGGGGGGGGCAGAGCGGGAACGGCCUCGAAAUGUGGGGGGGGGGUCCCCACCUCCUGACCCCCCCCCUCCACCUUCUGCAAUGGAGGGGAUUGGGGGGGAAGAGUGAGGGAUGCUGGACCCCAAAACUGGGGGAGGGCUCCUAAAGGGAGAGGUUUAAUAGGGGAUUUAUUGGGGGGGGGGGGAUAAUAGGAGUUUUUUGGGGGGUGUAUUGGGGGGGUUAAUUUGGGGUCCCUGAAAUGUUGGGGGAGGAGAAAGGGGUGGUCAGCACUGCUGGACCCCAAAACUGGGGGGACCCCAGAAUUGGAGGGGGGGGCAAUCUAAAGGGUGAGGCUCAAUGGAAGAAUUAAUUGGGGGGGGGGUCUUAAUUGGGGCGGUCACAAUGGGGGGGGACCCAAUGAGGAGUCCUAAGUAGGGGCUUCAAAAGAAGAAGGGUUUUAAGGACAGGGUCCAAACUGGGGGGGGUCCUAAUAGGGGGGAGUCCCAAUGAGGGGUCCCAAGUAGGGCUUCAAAAGGUGGGGGGGGAAGGGGGGGGACACGUCCUAAGGACAGGGUCCGAAUUGGGGGGGGGUCCCAAUGGAAGGGGUCCUAAGGACAGGGAUCCAAUGUGUGUGGGGGGGUCCUUAUAGGGGGGUCCCAUUGGAGGGUCCUAUGUGGGGGCUCCAAAACAGGGGGGGUCCUAAGGACAGGGUUCCAACGUGGGGGGUGGGGGGGAGGGGUGUCCUAAUAGGGGGGUUCCAAUGGGGGGGUUUCUAUGAACAGAAUACCACUGGGGGGGGGCGAGGGGGGGGGUGUCACCUGUGGGAGUGGCAGCGGGGCUGGAACCAGAGCUGCCCCCCCAGGGGGAUUCGGGGGGGUCCCGGUGGCAGGGGCCAGGCAGGGGUGGGGGCUGCGGCUCCUCCGGGAACUCCUCAAUGCUAAACAUGGUCAGGGCAUGGUGGCCUGGAGGGAAGGGGGGGAGAGACCCCCAUGUUACCCCAAAAUCAGCCUCCCCCACCCCCAAAAUCCCACUCAGUGAGGCCGAAAAUGCCCCCCCCCCCCCCCCAAUGAACGCCCGCCCCAAAAGAAUCCCUGAAGCACCUCCAGAAAACCCCAAAAUGUCUCUAAAUGAGGGCAAAAUGAACCUCAAAAUGACUCCCAAAGCACACAGUGACCCCCAAAGCGACCCACCCUCACCCCAACCCCCCCUCGCCCCAAACAACCCCCUAAGACGCCCAAAAUGAUCUAAAAAUCUCCCAAAAUGAC
ensembl:lncRNA